UUGUUUACUAUAUGCUAUCAUUUUUGCAUGAGACUAUGUGAUUUACUAUGUUCCGUGAUGUAAUGAACACUGCAAUGGUACAUUUGAGAUUUGUCUACUUAUGUGUGCGACUGUUUCUGGGGCACAUAUGAGUCUUUUAUGCAUCCUAUUUUGUUCUUAAAAUAUGGGUGUGACACUCACUUUCGAGGCAAUCCAAGUUUGCAACAGCUAGUUAGUUGAGUUGGAGUUAUUUACUAUCCCCUACACAAUCAUUUGGAAUGGCCUGGAGCUGGUUGAAGUUUUAGUUAUAGUUGAGG
rnacentral:lncRNA from 1 species